CCCUUAGAUGUUCUGGGCCGCACGCGCGCUACACUGAUGCAUUCAACGAGUUUCUUCCUGGUCCGAGAGGAAUGGGUAACCUUUUGAAAGUGCAUCGUGAUAGGGAUAGACUAUUGCAAUUAUUGGUCUUCAACGAGGAAUUCCUAGUAGACGUAGUUCAUCAGACUGCAUCGAUUACGUCCCUGCCCUUUGUACACACCGCCCGUCGCUCCUCCCGAUUGAAUGCUCAGGUGAGCCAUUCGGACUUUCAUCAUGCUGGUUUCCAGUUUUGAUGAAGGAAAGUCUUGCGAACCUUAUCAUUUAGAGGAAGGAGAAGUCGUAACA
rnacentral:rRNA from 1 species